AGACGUAGGUGGAAAGAGGGGGAAGGAGGGAGGGGGAGUAAAGAGAGCGCAGGAGGUUUCUUAAGUCUGAUGUGAAAGCCCCCGGCUCAACCGGGGAGGGUCAUUGGAAACUGGGAAACUUGAGUGCAGAAGAGGAGAGUGGAAUUCUAUGUGUAGCGGUGAAAUGCGUAGAUAUAUGGAGGAACACCAGUGGCGAAGGCGGCUCUCUGGUCUGUAACUGACGCUGAGGCUCGAAAGCGUGGGGAGCAAACAGGAUUAGAUACCCUGGUAGUCCACGCCGUAAACGAUGAGUGCUAAGUGUUGGAGGGUUUCCGCCCUUCAGUGCUGCAGCUAACACAUUAAGCACUCCGCCUGGGGAGUACGACCGCAAGGUUGAA
rnacentral:rRNA from 1 species